AGAGCGCGGCGCGUGCUCGCAGAGCUGGGCCGAUGCAGGUCCCUGUCCAGCCCCUCCUGAAGCCAGGAGAGGUGGGGACUGCCAGGGGCCAGGAGGAGCUGGCAGGUCCUGCUGCUCUGCCCCCUCGGCCCUGGUGAGACCACUGCCUUGAGGACCCCAAGCAAAGAGCCCAACAGAACUUGGAGCCCAGGAUACCAGGUGUGUGUUCUAGGGAAGCCCCGGUCCAGCUCGCUUGGCCAGAGACCUCAAAUGAGCACUAUGUUCUCCUGCUGUGUCCCGAUGUCCCGAGGCCGUAGCCACAGACGCGUCUGGCCAUUUGCCCGGAGGCACCCAAAGCUGAAUAGUUGAUAAGCAUUAAGUCCACUCACGAUGCCGCGUGACCUUCAGGCCUGUCUUGGAGCCGACUGCCUCACUCCUCAGAAGGAAGCCUGGGACUGAAAGCCAUCGGCCCCCAGCCCUCCC